rnacentral:tRNA from 1 species
GAAUAAGAAGUAAAUAUUUACAUUUAGUUUCGACCUAAAAAUUUGGUAUUCUCUGUACCCUUAUUUA